rnacentral:rRNA from 1 species
GCUGGCGGCAGGCUUAACACAUGCAAGUCGAGCGGUAACAGGGGAGCUUGCUCCUGCUGACGAGCGGCGGACGGGUGAGUAACGCGUAGGAAUCUGCCUAGUAGAGGGGGACAACAUGUGGAAACGCAUGCUAAUACCGCAUACGCCCUAAGGGGGAAAGGAGGGGACUCUUCGGAGCCUUCCGCUAUUAGAUGAGCCUGCGUGAGAUUAGCUAGUUGGUAGGGUAAAGGCCUACCAAGGCGACGAUCUCUAACUGGUCUGAGAGGAUGACCAGUCACACUGGGACUGAGACACGGCCCAGACUCCUACGGGAGGCAGCAGUGGGGAAUAUUGGACAAUGGGCGCAAGCCUGAUCCAGCCAUGCCGCGUGUGUGAAGAAGGCCUUAGGGUUGUAAAGCACUUUCAGGGGUGAGGAAGGGUAAUGGAUUAAUACUUCAUUACUUUGACGUUAGCCCCAGAAGAAGCACCGGCUAACUCUGUGCCAGCAGCCGCGGUAAUACAGAGGGUGCAAGCGUUAAUCGGAAUUACUGGGCGUAAAGCGCGCGUAGGUGGUUUGUUAAAUCGGAUGUGAAAUCCCAGGGCUCAC